GACGAACGCUGGCGGCGCGCCUAACACAUGCAAGUCGAACGGAGCUUAAAGAGCUUGCUUUUUAAGCUUAGUGGCGAACGGGUGAGUAACGCGUGAGUAACCUGCCCUGGAGUGGGGGACAACAGUUGGAAACGACUGCUAAUACCGCAUAAGCCCACGGAUCCGCAUGGAUCUGCGGGAAAAGGAUUUAUUCGCUUCAGGAUGGACUCGCGUCCAAUUAGCUAGUUGGUGAGGUAACGGCCCACCAAGGCGACGAUUGGUAGCCGGACUGAGAGGUUGAACGGCCACAUUGGGACUGAGACACGGCCCAGACUCCUACGGGAGGCAGCAGUGGGGGAUAUUGCACAAUGGGGGAAACCCUGAUGCAGCGACGCCGCGUGGAGGAAGAAGGUUUUCGGAUUGUAAACUCCUGUCGUUAGGGACGAUAAUGACGGUAC
rnacentral:rRNA from 1 species